ACUUUAAGCGAGGAGGAGGCUCUUUAGUUAAUACCUAAGAGUGGACGUUACUCGCAGAAUAAGCACCGGCUAACUCUGUGCCAGCAGCCGCGGUAAUACAGAGGGUGCGAGCGUUAAUCGGAUUUACUGGGCGUAAAGCGUGCGUAGGCGGCUUUUUAAGUCGGAUGUGAAAUCCCUGAGCUUAACUUAGGAAUUGCAUUCGAUACUGGAAAGCUAGAGUAUGGGAGAGGAUGGUAGAAUUCCAGGUGUAGCGGUGAAAUGCGUAGAGAUCUGGAGGAAUACCGAUGGCGAAGGCAGCCAUCUGGCCUAAUACUGACGCUGAGGUACGAAAGCAUGGGGAGCAAACAGGAUUAGAUACCCUGGUAGUCCAUGCCGUAAACGAUGUCUACUAGCCGUUGGGGCCUUUGAGGCUUUAGUGGCGC
rnacentral:rRNA from 1 species